rnacentral:tRNA from 1 species
GGAGGGUUCGCAUAGUGGUCUAGUGCGCGGCUCUGGAGAAGCCGUAGGUCCGAAAGGGCCUCGUGGGUUCGAAUCCCACCCCCUCCGCCA